rnacentral:rRNA from 1 species
CAAUAGCGUAUAUUAAAGUUGUUGCAGUUAAAAAGCUCGUAGUCGGAUUUCUGGCUCGGAAGUGCGGUCCGUUUGACUUUGUCGAAUGUGAACCAGCAUCUUCCGGCCAUCCUCGUGGAGAGCUGUUCUGGGCUUCAUUGUUUGGGGCAUGCAAUCCACGUCAUUUACUGUGAACAAAUUAGAGUGUUCAAAGCAGGCUUACGCCACUGAAUACAUUAGCAUGGAAUAAUAAGAUAGGACCUUCGGUUCUAUUUGUUGUUUCUAGUAGCUCAGGGUAAUGAUUAAUAGGGAUAGUUGGGGGCUAUUCGUAUUAACUGUCAGAGGUGAAAUUCUUGGAUUUGUUAAGACGGACUAACUGCGAAGACAUUGUCCAAGGAUGUUUUCAUUGAUCAAGAACGAAAGUUAGGGGAUCGAAGACGAUCAGAUA